AAUGAGUUGGAUGAAUUUUGGCUUCGUGCUUAUGAGAUUUCUGCUAUAUAUAAAGAAAAAUUAAAGUUGUACUAUGACAAUAAAAUUGAGAAAAGAAUGUUUAAUCCCAGUGUACUGCUACUAUUGUAUAAUUCAAAACUUCUAUUGUUUCUUAUCAAGAUAAAGUAUAGAUGGUCUAGACCAUUCACCAUAGGUAGGGUAUUCCCUCAUGGUGUUUUUG
rnacentral:lncRNA from 1 species